AUAGAGGUUCGAAUUCGGUGUAGU
rnacentral:siRNA from 1 species